GACGAACGCUGGCGGCGUGCCUAACACAUGCAAGUCGAACGGAACUGUCUUGAAAGAUUUCUUCGGAAUGAAUUUGAUUUAGUUUAGUGGCGGACGGGUGAGUAACGCGUGAGUAACCUGCCUUCAAGAGGGGAAUAACAUUCUGAAAAGAAUGCUAAUACCGCAUGACAUAUCGGAACCACAUGGUUUUGAUAUCAAAGAUUUUAUCGCUUGAAGAUGGACUCGCGUCCGAUUAGUUAGUUGGUGAGGUAACGGCUCACCAAGACCGCGAUCGGUAGCCGGACUGAGAGGUUGAACGGCCACAUUGGGACUGAGACACGGCCCAGACUCCUACGGGAGGCAGCAGUGGGGGAUAUUGCGCAAUGGGGGCAACCCUGACGCAGCAACGCCGCGUGAAGGAUGAAGGUUUUCGGAUUGUAAACUUCUUUUAUUAAGGACGAAAAAUGACGGUACUUAAUGAAUAAGCUCCGGCUAACUACGUG
rnacentral:rRNA from 1 species